UCCUACGGGAGGCAGCAGUAGGGAAUAUUGCGCAAUGGGGGAAACCCUGAUGCAGCAAUGCCACGUGAGUGAGGAAGGUUUUCGGAUUGUAAAGCUCUGUCCUAUGGGAAGAACUGCUUUGGGUAACGCCAGUGUUUGACGGUACUAUAGAAGAAAGCACCGGCUAACUCCGUGCCAGCAGCCGCGGUAAUACGGAGGGUGCAAGCGUUGUUCGGAUUUACUGGGCGUAAAGCGCGCGCAGGCGGAUUAGCAAGUCAGAUGUGAAAUCUCGGGGCUCAACCCCGAAACUGCGUCUGAAACUGUUAGUCUAGAAUCUCAGAGGGGGCAGGGGAAUUUCACGUGUAGGGGUAAAAUCCGUAGAGAUGUGAAGGAACACCGGUGGCGAAGGCGCCUGCCUGGAUGAGUAUUGACGCUGAGGCGCGAAAGCGUGGGGAGCAAACAGGAUUAGAUACCCUGGUAGUCCACGCCGUAAACGAUGAGUACUAGCCUUUGGAGGUAUUGACCCC
rnacentral:rRNA from 1 species